UUUUUUUUUCUUUUUAGAAUCAAGUUAUUGAUUUAACAUUAAAUAAUGAGCAGGAGCCUAUGGAGGUGGAAAAUAAUGCUGCAUGUGGAAGCAGUAGUAGUAAACAAAAGAUGACAUAUCAUUAGAAAAAGAAAUAGAAGAAGCGAGUGAGAUAUAUCUCAAUGAACCGAUGGAAGUGGAUUUUGUGGACACGUUGUUGGAUGAUCAAAAAGGUUAUUUUAAGAAAGAAAAAAACAAGAAGUAGAGGGGAGAAAUGAGGAGAAAGAAGAAACUAUGUUAAAUAAAUGUUUAUCAAAUGAAAGGUGUUAUAAUUUUUGUUUAAAGAAACUAUAUAUAGAUGAGACAACAAGGUAUUUUAUUUUUAAACAAACUAAUCGAGAAAAGAAAGAAAAUAAUAUCAAGAAUUUACAAAGAAAAAGAAAGAAUUUUUUUUUUAUUUUAACUAUCCUUAUCUCGACUAGUUUGAAAGAAAAUAAAG